rnacentral:lncRNA from 1 species
GCAUUUAAGGACCUCUAUGCUGGUAGAAUUCUGAGGCUCUGCGACCUAAGAUUUCAUAUUGAUAGAAAUGACAUCGGCUUUUUAUUUGCCAAUUCUACAUACACAGCUACCAGAUUAUUAAGGUGCAGCUACUCAUUGAAGACCAAGGGAAAGGACAUUUUAAAGAUUCAUUUUCAUUUUCUGCAGAAGUUAAAACCUCACCCUAGGGUACAGAGAAAAGAACCUGACUCACUUCAUUUGCCGUCAGUUUAUAACCCUGAUACAGGCUGCACUCAGAAUGGAUAAAUGGUCUUUGUCUUUAUCUUAUUAAUUGGAUUAAAUGCAAUUGCUUAGGAAAGAAAUAGUUCUUAUAGCGACUUCAAGCAAUAGACAUCAGAUGAUCUUGGGAGGUAUGCCAUAGCAAACUAGGAAAAUGUGCAGACAUUCUUUCUUCGACGCAUCUUUUGACAACUGAAGAUUGUUUAAAAUGUCAACUGUGAAGACAUAUUAUUUCAUGUACCCUGAAUAGCAGGUAUACUGAAGUGCCAAAAUUUCCCAAUGAUUAUCAUGUCUGUCUAAGAAGAGCAAUAAUAUAAAUGUUACUUGAAGAUAGUAAAAUUGUUUUCUUACCUCAGAAAAACUUCGCAAA